rnacentral:ncRNA from 1 species
CCACGUCCCGUCGCACCACCCCCCGGCGCCGGGACUUCCCAAGCCGGGUCCGGCGCCCUCCCCCCGGGUGCCGGACCCGGUCUCUCC